rnacentral:rRNA from 1 species
AUUGAACGCUGGCGGCAUGCCUUACACAUGCAAGUCGGCCGAGUGGCGAACGGGUGAGUAACGUAUCGGAAAGUACCUAAUAAUGGGGGAUAACUGUCCGAAACGACAGCUAAUACCGCAUACUAUACGAUCGGCCCAUGUGUGAUUAGCUGGUUGGUGGGGUAACGGCUCACCAAGGCGACGAUCCGUAGCGGGUCUGGGAGGAUGAUCAGCCACACUGGGACUGAGACACGGCCCAGACUCCUACGGGAGGCAGAAGUGGGGAAUUUUGGACAAUGGGCGCAAGCCUGAUCCAGCCAUGCCGCGUGUAUGAAGAAGGCCUUCGGGUUGUAAAGGACUUUUAGCAGGGAAGCGGUACCGGAAGAAUAAGCACCGGCUAACUACGUGCCAGCAGCCGCGGUAAUAC